AAAUAUAACGUGAAAGGCUGAAAGCCCUCUUCUCUGUUUCUCUCUCAAUUAAGCAACCUAAACCUAGAGCAGAACAAGUUGGACUUCGCGCUGGUUUUAGAAUUUCAGGUAGAGAACAAUGGCUAAACUCCGAGAUAUUAGUCGGAUGAGAGAACGAAAGGUCAAACUGGGAAAGGCUGCAAUGGUGGCGAAGAAAUACAAAAGUUUCGUGAAGGGAUACCCUAUGCUUCAAGUGCUGCUACACGUCUCCCCCAAGCAUUUCGUCUUUUAGGGAGAAUUGGUGACUCUCCACAAAAUCCUGUCAUCAAAGAUAUUGAAACGAUUGUCCUAGACGAAGAAGAACCAACAAUGGAAGAUACCAAAUUGAAGGGACUGCGAACAUUGUAAAUAGAAAAAGAAUAAGCUGUGAUGAACUAUUUAUAAUAGACCAGUAGUAGAUGUUAGUCUUAAUUUACUUAGUUUAUUAGAGAGUUUGUUAUAGUUGCUUGCCUAUUGAAUGUAUUGCUUGCUAUAUAUUAAUUGCCUUUUCCAGUUCCAA